UACAGAGGGGGCAAGCGUUGUUCGGAAUUACUGGGCGUAAAGGGCGCGUAGGCGGCCUGCUAAGUCGAACGUGAAAUCCCUGGGCUCAACCCAGGAACUGCGUCCGAUACUGGUUGGCUUGAAUUCGGGAGAGGGAUGUGGAAUUCCAGGUGUAGCGGUGAAAUGCGUAGAUAUCAAGAGGAACACCUGAGGUGAAGACGGGUUGCUGGGCUGACACUGACGCUGAGGCGCGAAAGCUAGGGUAGCAAACGGG
rnacentral:rRNA from 1 species